GGAACACAAAAUUUCGGGUUGCAGUAGGGUCUAAGACCAUAAAAAAUGGCUGCCGUUUCCAUGGAAACGGAACAAUUGUGAAAAAUUCCAGUUUUUGGUUUUGAUGAAUAAUUUGGAGAUGCUUAAACUCAGAAUCAUUAUAUUUUAAUACAAUGCAGGUGCCGGCCAUAUACUGGUUUUGGAUGAUUUUGGCAAUCAUUGGAACUACUAUGUUGCCAUGGAAACUACACCAAAAAUUUCAAAAAUAUGAAAAUGCUCCAAUUUUUUUGAAACUUUAGCAUAACGAUGAGCAACUUUGGUAGAUGUUGAAUUUGGCGUUGGAAUUUCCAAAAUGUCUGCCGUUUCCAUGGAAACAAUGCAAAAAGGUCAAAAUGCUCCAAAAACUUCCGGGUUUGGUGAAUAAUUUUGGUAUUCCUUAAUUUAGAAUCAUUUAAUUUUCAUACAAUAUAGUUUUCAACUAUAUACAGGUUUUGAAUGAUUUUGACAAUCAUUGGAACUACAAUGUUACCAUGGAUACAGCAGCAAAAAUUUCAAAAAAUUCAAAAUGCUUUAAACUUAAUGAAACUUCACAAUCAUGUUGACUGUCAUGUGUUGAAGCAGAAUUUGAAGUUGGAAUUUCCAAAAUGGCUGCCGUUGCCAUGGAAACAUCAAAAAUUUCAAAAUUUUCAAAAUGCUUCAAAUGUUCUAAAAAUUUGUAGAAAGAUGAAUUACCAUGCAUUUAUGUAAAAUCACUGUUUAAAAUUGUUGAAAUGGCUGCCACUUAGUGGCAAUGGGGGGAAGGGUGACAUCCGCUAUUGCUUGCAAUGGCAAAUCUAGUUAUUAUUAUACUUCCACCUAUUUUGUCCGGCAGGUUUUUUGGAGUGAAAUGGAACCAAUCUUAAUGAUAGUUCACUAUAAGGUGGAACAAAAAAUUUCGGGGUGCAGGUGGGUCUAAGACCAUAAAAAAUGGCUGCCGUUUCCAUGGAAACAGAAUAAUUGUGAAAAAUUCCAGUUUUUGGUUUUGGUGAAUAAUUUGGAGAUGCUUAAACUCAGAAUCAUUAUAUUUUGAUACAAUGUAGGUGCCAGCCAUAUACUUGUUUUGGAUGAUUUUGGCAUUCAUUGGAACUACUAUGUUGCCAUGGAAACUACACCAAAAAUUUCAAAAAUAUCAAAAUGCUCCAAAUUUUUUGAAACUUCAUGGUAACGAUGAGCAACAUUGGUAGAUGUGGAAUUUGGCGUUGGAAUUUCCAAAAUGUCUGC
rnacentral:lncRNA from 1 species